rnacentral:misc_RNA from 1 species
GAAAUGCGAUAAGUAAUGUGAAUUGCAGAAUUCAGUGAACCAUCGAAUCUUUGAACGCACCUUGCGCUCCUUGGUAUUCCUUGGAGCAUGCCUGUUUGAGUAUCAUGAAAUCUUCAAAGUAAAUCUUUUGUUAACUCAAUUGGUUUCUACUUUGGUAUUGGAGGUCUUUGCAGCUUCACACCUGCUCCUCUUUGUUCAUUAGCUGGAUCUCAGUGUUAUGCUUGGUUCCACUCGGCGUGAUAAGUUAUCUAUCGCUGAGGACACUGUAAAAGGUGGCCAAGGUAAAUGCAGAUGAACCGCUUCUAAUAGUCCAUUGACUUGGACAAUACUUUUAUGAUCUGAUCUCAAAUCAGGUAGGACUACCCGCUGAACUUAAGC